UGAUAGCGUUGAUCCAUAAGGUUGCUAUCUUCCCAUGAAGAUAGGUUUUUAUGAGGAGCGAAUGUCAAGUCAAGAUACUGGCGACAA
rnacentral:ncRNA from 1 species